ensembl:lncRNA
CUUUCUGUAGUUGUUCUUGAAAUGUCCCCUAAUUUUCUGCCGUAUGUUUCUGUCUCUGUGGAGGUUCUUUAUUUCCGUUCUUUCCAUUCUUUCCGUUCUUUCCAUUGUUAUUCUUGACCUGUCACCUAAUUUUCUGCCUUAUGUUUCUGUCUCUGUGGUGGUUCUUUCCGUUCUUUCUGUAGUUGUUCUUGAAAUGUCCCCUAAUUUUCUGCCGUAUGUUUCUGUCUCUGUGGAGGUUCUUUAUUUCCGUUCUUUCCAUUCUUUCCGUUCUUUCCAUUGUUAUUCUUGACCUGUCACCUAAUUUUCUGCCUUAUGUUUCUGUCUCUGUGGUGGUUGUUUCCGUUGUUUCCGUUGUUUCCGUUGUUUCCGUUGUUGUUCUUCACUUGUCACGUAUUUUUCUGUUGUAUGUUUCUGUCUCUGUGGAGGUUCUUUCCGUUCUUUCCGUUCUUUCCGUUCUUUCUGUUGUUGUUUUUGAACUGUCA